rnacentral:lncRNA from 1 species
AAAAUUAUGAGUGACAUUCAAAUUUAUUUUCAUUAGAACAUUUAGGUGCCCUUUUAAGUAGUCCUGAUUUGUCCUAAGGUUAUGGCAUUCCAUGUUCAAAUAGGAAAGGGGGGCUGCAAAUGUGAUGGAGAGGUAGGCAGGCACACUUGGCACAUUUGUGUUUUCUAAUGUGCUUUGUGUGGUCUGAAGCAAACCACACAGUGGCAAAAGUGAGUGUAGAAAACCCCAUGUCUCCUGGUCUUCUAACAAGUUGACCUGUGUGCCAGAGUGGACAAGGAUGGAAAAUUCUUCAAAGAAAAACAAAUGUUGGCCGGGUGCGGUGGCUCCCGCCUGUAAUCCCAGCAUUUUGGGAGGCCGAGACUGGCGGAUUGCCUGAGCUCAGGAGUUCGCGACCAGCUUGGGCAAACAGGGUGAAACCCUGUCUCUGCGAAAAUACAAAAAAAAUUAGCCGGGCGAGGCCGCGUGCGCCUGUAGUCCCAGCUACUAGAGUCGCUGAGGCAGGAGAAUGGCGUGAACCCGGGAGGCGGAGGUUGCAGUGAGCCGAGAUCGCGCCACUGCAAAAAAAAAAAAAAAAAAAAAAAAAAAAAGACAAGAAAGAAUAAAAGGAAUAUUAUGGGAAACACCUUUAUAAAUCCAAAUUUGUAAUGGAUUAAGGCUAUAAGGAAUCCUAUUCACGUAGUUCUCGUGCUGCUAAUGUUGUUUUAAAAUUCAGAAUUAAUGUUACUUCUCUUCUAGAUAUCUGAUGCCCUAAAAAAUUGCCCCACAUCACAGGAAAAACACCUAUGACGGUUUCAUAUGUGUCAUGCUCUAACCCUUUACUUAGUGUUUUCGGGUUCCAUGUGAGAAUUACAAUAUAGCUUAAAAAUGUGUGAGCUUCAAAUUCAUCUGUGUUAUUACCAAACUGUAAACGAUUUUAUGACUGUUAUACAAGUUCGAUAUGGACAGAGACUGCAAAUACAGGUUUGUGUUCGCUGUCUUUCAGGUAAUUAGAUUCAAAACGACUCCCUCCUGUAAAAUCAGAAUGACCCCCUAACCCCAGAGCUGGAGUCCACCAUUUAUAUCCAAGCAACAAAACGAC